CCUACGGGAGGCAGCAGUGGGGAAUAUUGCACAAUGGGGGGAACCCUGAUGCAGCGACGCCGCGUGGGUGAAGGAGUAUUUCGGUAUUUAAAGCCCCAUCAGCAGGGAAGAACAAUGACGGUACCUGACUAAGAAGCACCUGCUAAAUACGUACCAGCAGCCGCGGUAAUACGUAUGGUGCAAGCGUUAUCCGGAUUUACUGGGGUUAAAGGGAGCGCAGGCGGCGCGUUAAGCCUGAUGUGAAAGUCCGGGGCCCAACCGCGGGACUGCAUUGGAAACUGGCGCGUUGGAGUGCAGGAGGGGUAGGCGGAAUUCGUAGUGUAGCGGUGAAAUGCGUAGAUAUUAGGCGGAACACCAGGGGCGAAGGCGGCCUACUGGACGGUGACUGACGCUGAGGCUCGAAAGCGUGGGGAGCAAACAGGAUUAGAUACCCCAGUAGUC
rnacentral:rRNA from 1 species